GUGAGAAGUAAGGCUGCAGAGGGCCCAUGGGAAGGAGCAGAGGUUACCGCAGGAAGCCUUGAUAGGUGGAUCAUUUCCCUGACUGCUGGUGGCAAAGCAUCUCUACAAGUACACAGGGCUCAAUAAAUCUCACCUCUCAAGGCAAAGAUAUUCACAGACGACUAUUUAACUGGGGGUUGACUUGUCAAAUUCAUCCACUGACGCUUAGCAGGAGCUGCCCAGCCAUUGACAAGGAUUCCUCCUUGCCUCCUCUCCUGG
rnacentral:lncRNA from 1 species